rnacentral:rRNA from 1 species
UACGUAGGGUGCGAGCGUUAAUCGGAAUUACUGGGCGUAAAGUGUGCGCAGGCGGCCGAGCAAGUCGAGUGUGAAAGCCCCGAGCUUAACUUGGGAACUGCGCUCGAAACUACUUGGCUAGAGUGUGGCAGAGGGAGGUGGAAUUCCACGUGUAGCGGUGAAAUGCGUAGAGAUGUGGAGGAACACCGGUGGCGAAGGCGGGUCUCUGGGCCGUAACUGACGCUGAGGAGCGAAAGCAUGGGGAGCGAACAGG